AGAGUUGAUUCUGGCUCAGGAUGAACGCUAGCUACAGGCUUAACACAUGCAAGUCGAGGGGCAGCAUUGGAGUAGCAAUACUUCAGAUGGCGACCGGCGCACGGGUGAGUAACACGUAUCCAACCUGCCGCUUACUCGGGGAUAGCCUUUCGAAAGAAAGAUUAAUACCCGAUGGUAUAAAGAGUUCGCAUGUUCUCUUUAUUAAAGAAUUUCGGUAAGCGAUGGGGAUGCGUUCCAUUAGAUUGUUGGCGGGGUAACGGCCCACCAAGUCUACGAUGGAUAGGGGUUCUGAGAGGAAGGUCCCCCACAUUGGAACUGAGACACGGUCCAAACUCCUACGGGAGGCAGCAGUGAGGAAUACUGGUCAAUGGACGAGAGUCUGAACCAGCCAAGUAGCGUGAAGGAUGACUGCCCUAUGGGUUGUAAACUUCUUUUAUAAGGGAAUAAAGUGAGGGACGUGUCCCUUUUUGUAUGUACCUUAUGAAUAAGGAUCGGCUAACUCCGUGCCAGCAGCGGC
rnacentral:rRNA from 1 species